ACAACACGACCCUCCAGCAUGCUGCUCUCCUCCACUAUAAUCCAGCAUGCCGCCCACCUUCACAACACGACCCUCCAGCAUGCUGCUCGCCUCCAUAAUCCCUUAGUUUGCCGCCCGCCUGCACAACCCCCCAGCUGAUCGACCACUGGACCCUAUAGCUAACAUUCUUUUGGUGAUUAUAGUGUCCCUUUAAAAUGUAAUAAAUAUUGUAAUGUUGUACGAUUUAUG